CCAUGUGCUUUAACUGCUGAGUAUCUCCACCUUUACAUGACAGCAACUGCACAUGGCCGGGUAGCAAAUGAGUUGCAUUUGUUGCUCGCCUGAGAGCUAGCCGCAAGACUUGUAUCGUACGUGAUUUUAUUACAGUGUGAACAUGAUUGCUCGACCAUGGCAUGCGAAUCCUGGGCUGCGGCACCGCACGAUCUGCUCAACUCGGAAAGGCUCGAUGGAAAAUAAUAUUUGCACCGUUCUGAUGCAACACGAAUCACCCUGAUGGUGUCUUGGGCGGCAGGAUUGCUGUCAGAUUUGACGCGCUGCGGCGCUGUUAGCCAAGAGGCCGUGAUUGUAGAUAUAAUGAGAUGAUAGGAACGCCAUGUUUCUGCUUGUCGAGAUGGUGUGUGGCUGAACAAAGAGGAAAGGAUUGAUCUAGG
rnacentral:lncRNA from 1 species